CUGAGAGACUACUAUAUAUAUAUAUAUAUAUAUAUAUAUAUAUAUAUAUAUAUAUAUAAGGUUUUAGGACAUGGCUCUCUCUCUUCUGCUUUAGCUCUUAACUCUCUGACCUGUGAUUCUCUGUUUUCUCUGCUGGCUCCUCCUCUAGAUCGUGCUAAAACUAGGAUUAGGGUGAGGGAGUUCCUCCAGCCCUGUCUUUGUCCCUCUACUCUUCUCCCUCUGGACUUCUUUACUUGGUGAUCUCAUCACCUACCAGGGAUACAAGCACCAUCUCUCUGCUGAUGAGUCUCAGAUUUACAUUUUCCAUCCCAAUCUCUAUGCUGACGUCCAGCCUUUCAUCUCAAGUUUCCUUACAGGGAUUUCACACUAGGGGCCCAGUAGAUAGCUUGAGCUCAGUGUGUCCCAAAUACAUUGUUCUUGCUCACCUAGACAGAACCUCUACCUUCUCUAUAGCUGUAUCUUCCUCAUCUCUCAGGACCUGGCUGGAGCAGUUCAAUUCCCUUUUUCUCUCUCUCUCAUUCUUGAUUUUCUUCCUUCUAUUGUAAAUAAACCACCAUAAAAUCCCAUUCUGACUUGAGUAUUUCACUGGGAUUUAGAAUUUAAAUCACUGCUGACCAAUGGGACACAGGCUGGCACUAAAGAAAAAGUGCCUGGCUGAAGGGUGUGUAAAACUGAUCACCUUGAUGGGGGAGGGGCCCCAAAGGAUUGGAAUCUGGAGGAGGAGAAUACUCUGACUGGUAGAGGAGUCGGUCUAUCUCAGUCUUAAGAAGCCAAAGGGAGAGGGUGAAAAAAAAGGAUUUCUCCUGAGGGUUACCCACUUUUCCUGCUGGUGACUGGAAAUCCUCCCCCCCCCAAAUUUCCCAAUUGAAGGGACUUUCUGAAGAGAAACCUGAGCAGACUUUACCUCAGCUCCUGUUGCCCAGGGGUAAGGCUGCCAAGGCCUGACUUCCCCCUAAACUAGAGGAGGGAUGAAAAAGGUUUUAGAUAGAGACAGGGACCCCUUUUUCCCACAUUCCUUUCCCAUUCUUCCCUGCCUGUUAUUCCAUUUGUAUUACCUGAUUGAGUUGACAUUAAAAGUUAUCUGUUCCCCAAGCUGAGUGUGAGUGAACAGAUCAAGGGGAGAUUCUUUGGUCUCUGGUAGUGGAGGGGGGACAAGAGGGAGAAGAACAAAUCAGGUAGAGCAGCUUUAGCUAAGGAGGGAAUGCAAAAGGGGGAAAAUCUUCAAACCCCCUCUCCUCUCUCUGAGCCAACCCUAAACAUCAGCUAUCUCCCCUGAACCCCACUUUGAGAAGGGAGGUUCUCCUAUCUUUGUCCCUCUCAAUACUUAAAGUUUUAACCCCUCAGAUACAAAUUAACCUCCCUUUAUAAUAUACCACCUAAAUAUAUUCAGUCUUAACCCUAAAUUUACCCUUAAUAUCCAGUACAGCACCAGAACCAGUCAGUUUCAACAUUGCAGCAUCUCUCCAAUACACUCCCAUCUGUCCUGUGUCACUGCCAUCAUCCUGGUGGAGGACCACAUCACCUCCCUCAUGGACUAUUCAGACA
rnacentral:lncRNA from 1 species